rnacentral:lncRNA from 1 species
CGAGGUUUACUCUUGUCAGCCACCUACUACGGCCGUGCGCCUCAGAGGUCUGGCCGAGGACCAUACCCUGACGCCCCUCUGGCAUUUAUUGCGCAUGGUCGCUGUAACCCUCCGGCUUACUCCACAAUAAAUGCGGAUCUCCGGCUUACUCCACAAUAAAUGCGGAUCUCCGGCUUACUCCACAAUAAAUGCGGAUCUCCGGCUUACUCCACCAUAAAUGCGCAUGGCUCCUGUCAUCUACGGACUCUCAGCUCCCCACGGCAAGUCAGCCCAGCAGAGUCUAGUCAACUAUGAUAAGUCUCCGAUCUCGGCCAUACCACCGACACCAAUGCAAUAAUUCGUCUGACAGCGUGCUAGUUCGGGUUAUACGACGCCCUCACCGCCGACAUCAGAGCAAUGAUUCGCCUGACCAUGCGCCGACCUGAACAACAUGUCGAGCCGUACUACGGCCUCGCCCUGUUACAUCGCAGGUAAACCGACCCCCGCCUAUAAAAGGGAGCCUUGGCCUCUCAGGAGGGGGUUGGAAGAUUGAUACACUCUACAGACAUUAUUUAUCUCCCUUUCUACACUAUUUGCCCCCUUCCUGACUUGAGCGUCGGAGGGCCGGCGCCGGAAAACCCGGCCACCGGUUCGUGUGCAGGCACCCGGACGGAGGACGCCGCCAACUGACGGAUCGCCGCUUCGCCACGAGGACCUGCCGCCCCUUCUCUCCGA